UACGUAGGGGGCAAGCGUUGUCCGGAAUCAUUGGGCGUAAAGAGCGUGUAGGCGGCCCGAUAAGUCCGCCGUGAAAGUCCAGGGCUCAACCCUGGAAUGCCGGUGGAAACUGUCGGGCUGGAGUCCGGAAGAGGCGAGUGGAAUUCCUGGUGUAGCGGUGAAAUGCGCAGAUAUCAGGAAGAACACCCGUGGCGAAGGCGGCUCUCUGGGACGGUACUGACGCUGAGGUGCGAAAGCGUGGGGAGCAAACAGG
rnacentral:rRNA from 1 species